rnacentral:rRNA from 1 species
GAUGAACGCUGGCGGCGUGCCUAAUACAUGCAAGUCGAGCGAACAGAUGAGGAGCUUGCUCCUCUGACGUUAGCGGCGGACGGGUGAGUAACACGUGGAUAACCUACCUAUAUGACUGGGAUAACUUCGGGAAACCGGAGCUAAUACCGGAUAAUAUCUUGAACCGCAUGGUUCAAUAGUGAAAGACGGUUUUGCUGUCACUUAUCGAUGGAUCUGCGCCGCAUUAGCUGGUUGGUAAGGUAACGGCCUACGACGGCAAGUAUGCGUUGCCGACCUAAGAGGCUGGUAGGCCACCUUGGAACUGAGACACGGUCCAGACUCCUACGAGAGGCAGCAGUAGGGAAUCGUCCGCAGUGGGCGAGAGCCUGGCGGAGUGACGCCGCGUGAGUGGUGAAGGUCUUCGGAUCGUAAAACUCUGUUAUUAGGGAAGAACAAAUGUGUAAUGAACUAUGCACGUCGUGACGGUACCUAGUCAGAAAGCCACGGCUAACUACGUG